UGAACAUGUUCGAGAGCCGCAUUGGCCCGGU
rnacentral:sRNA from 1 species